ACGAAGGGGGCUAGCGUUGUUCGGAAUUACUGGGCGUAAAGCGCACGCAGGCGGUCUGUCAAGUCGGAUGUGAAAUCCCCGGGCUCAACCUGGGAACUGCCUUUGUGACUGCAAGGCUGGAGUGCGGCAGAGGGGGAUGGAAUUCCGCGUGUAGCAGUGAAAUGCGUAGAUAUGCGGAGGAACACCGAUGGCGAAGGCAAUCCCCUGGGCCUGCACUGACGCUCAUGCACGAAAGCGUGGGGAGCAAACAGGA
rnacentral:rRNA from 1 species